CGCUUCUGUUCCGGUAUAUAGCGGAUCGGGUUCGCCAUGACACCUCGAACGAGGACCCAGGUUCGGAUCCCAGCAUGCACAUCAGGAGGCUCCCAACCAUAUGUGACUCCAGAUUCAAGGGAUCCAUCGCUCUCAGCUAGCUUCUACAGGCACCUGCAGUUCAUGAUGCACAUAAACUCACACAGACAGUUUCUCCGUGCUGCCCUGGCUGUCAUGGAACUCACACUGGAGACCAGGCUAUGUUGCCUUGGGUGUCCUGGAACUCACACUGGAGACCAGGCUGUCCUCGAACUCAGAGAUCCAUCUGCCUCUGUCCCACAAGUGCUCGGAUUAAAGGUAUGUGCCACCACCACAGCACAAAUAAUUUGUUUUGAAAUAAAUUGUUUUAUUAUCUGUGUUUGAUUUGUAUAUCUGCUUUAUACUCCCCAAAGCCUAAGGCCAUGUGAAGAUAUCUUGGCAGGAAAGAAGUCAUAAGUAGAAAGUUUUAGAAGCCUUGAUCUGAUGGAUUAGUUUAUAUUCCAUAUCCAUGAUACUUUCCUGUCCCAUGGGAAACUGCAGACGAAGGCAAGUCUCUGCUGGGAAUCGGGAAUGAGGGAGGUAGCACUUUAUGUACAAUCCCACGGUCCAGACUGGACUGUGUUUACCUGGGAGAUGCUGAUCCAACAA